CGGGGCGUGGCGGAACGGAAGACGCGCGGGCUUCAGGUGCCCGUGGCCAUAGGGCCGUGUGGGUUCGAAUCCCGCCGCCCCGACCA
rnacentral:tRNA from 1 species